CAGAAUGGUAACCGUUCCUGGUGUUACCCCGUUUCUUUCCCAGAAAUGAAUUUUCCGAAAGCACCAGUGCUGCGUCCCUCAUCAAACGUCCGCUGCUGGGAGAGCACCCAAUAGGAUCAAUGCAAGAAUGGGAAACCUGUGGCAUUGCAUAUGCUGCUGGACAACAAUUCUCAUCAUCCUUGACUAUUGGCCUUGCUAAUUGGGACUGAAGAGAGGAAUUAGCUAACAACAUCUGAAGAGUCCCCGCGCCAUACCUGAUUUAAUCCCGCAAAAGGUUUGCCAGAGUAUCACCAGCAGAUUGCACACAAAAGGUCCAACUAAUGCAAGAGUACCCAAGGCCUCCCUUGUAAAUCACUCACCUGCUGAUUCCUUUGUAUACUGUGGAAUGAGAACUCCCACUCAGCUUCUCCAGAUUCAG